UCUUAUGAAUGAGCAAAGAAAAUGGUUUUUUGAGAUAGAAUCUAUACCUAGUGAAGAUGCUAAGAA
rnacentral:pre_miRNA from 1 species